CUGGUACACAAGAGAGUCGAGGGCAGCACGUGAAGGAAGAACCGACGAGGAAGAUCGGAAACUGUAUGAGGCGUAGUGAAAAAACAAAGGAAGAAAAUAGAAGAAGGCGAAAAAGCAUGGAAGCAACCGAAGAGGCAACCGCGAAGGCCACAAAGGCCACGGGCUCACCCAGUGACUGCUCGUUACUCUGGCACGUCUCCAAGUCUACUCUACAAGCUUUUUCUAUUUUACCCCUUAGUUUUCCGUUCGCCUGAUUUAUUGCUAUAUUGCGCGUCACAGUUCGGCCGCGCUCAGCAGCCGCCACCAUUCGUGACAGCGAUUUCGUGAGGCACCGAUUCUUUAAAGUGGAACAGGGACCUCAAAUUUGUUGAUUUGUGACGAAAGACAUAUCGAUUUUCUGCUACCAUUGUGCAGACUUUUUAUUAAUUAGAAAUAUUGUGUUUCAGCAAUUAGCAGAUGAAUUAAUGCAUUGCGUACGAGACGGAACUUGCACAUAGAUUACGCGUAACGCGCCCAUUAUUAAGUCGCAUGUUUGUCCGUAACGGUGCUUCACAAACGACCGGGACAGUUUCAGGAGCGUCCAUCAUCCACGGAAAUAGUUGAAAUUCUCCGGGCAGCCGCCGGAAGCGUGAAAGUAUAUAUUGCGCGCGUACAAAACGCGAACGAGUGUGGGUCUCCGGGUGCCGUAUAUCUUUGUAAUAAACUCAGGCGACCCCAGCCCAUUCGGGCCUGUGCGCGCUACCCUUAUGACCCGUCGACGUUAAUUACCAGAAUAAUUGCCCAGGAUGGAAAUUCAAGCCUUACGUAGACAUGCUUUGUGGUGUUAGUCGGACAGACAUGGAAUACUACCAUUUUCAGACAAUAUUUACUUAAUUAUUCAAAUCAGAUAACUUUUAAGAAAGUAGAAGAAUUUAAAUGUCUUUGCAAGAAACGUAAAAAAAGUUGGAAAUUUUGUCUAGAUGAAAAAAAUAUAUCAUUAAUAAAGCAAUAUUUAUUAACUUUAAUACAUGUAUCUAGUAAAAGAUUAAUCUUUGAAACGAACAAUGAAGAAAAUUUUGACUUUAUUACUCUGCGAUAGUGCUUUUCAUUAACGAUCGAGCCUUUUACCUUGACACCCGCGGAUAAUUCAGACGACGGUUGUCGCUCACGAAACGAACAAGGAAGAGAUUCGCCUCCUUGGAAAUUCGCCAAAACUGUGGCACGGACUCUCAAUUUACUAGCCAGUUUGACUUUCUACGUGCCCGAAGUACACAUACCUCCGUUCCUUUAGACUAAGAAAAACAUAUAUACAGAGAUACGUGCCAUUGGCGUAUAUCUGUCCUACAGAUUUGCACGUUUAAUGGAAGUUUAAAAAAAUUUGAGCUUUUUAACUCAUUGUUAGUAAUAAAUAUAAUUGAUAAAAAUUCUUUAAUUUUUUAAAAAGAUGUCGAUUUUCAGAAUCUAGAAUUUAGAUCUUUUUAUAAAUUGUUUCUAAAACAAUAAAAAUAAUUACGAUAAAAUGUGAACAAUUGUACAAAGUCGUUUUAAAAUUCAGUUGUAUUUUUUUACCAAAAAAAAAAGUAAAUUUUACAUCAUUUAGACGUAUCUAAUAUUUAGAUUAUUAUUAAACUAAAAACUAUAUUAUUAAACUAAAUUAAAAAUAGAUAAGAUUUUAGGAACAAGUUCUUGCCAAUCACUACUUAUAAAAUUAUGAUACGUGGUACUUUUAAUUUUAAAUAUCUCAAUAGGUAGAUAUUAGCGGAAUUAUUGGAUAGAUUCUCUCAAAUCAGAGCUAACAAUAAAGUGCGAACUCCCUCCUCCUAUUCUACAGUUAUAGAGGCUGUGCGUGUAUCCACAUGGAUAAAUACACGCGCGCAUACGCGACGAUAAGUCCAAUCCGUGUCUCUUUCUUGCGAGAGCGUACGUCUGCACGCGAAACUACAGUGGGUUUUGGUAUCCGCAGAAGAGCAGAAGUUACUUAGGAAAUUGGAGACAUAUCCCCUCUUUUCUUCCCCGUCCGUCACGGUUAUCCACAAGAUACAUCCUGUACUGCGAUUCUUUUCGCGAAGAAGCGAGAGACGAAGAUGUAUGCAGAAGAAAGAAGGAAGGAAGGAAGGAAGGAAGGAAGAAAAGAAAGAAGGAACGGAGAUACAAAAGGAGGACGAAAGGGAGAAUAAGCGAAAAGAGUGAGGAGGCGAGGGAGGAGAUGUGCUCUCGCAUAAAAUUCUCGUUACCCCACGUACUAUGUAUCGAGCAGCUCUCGAAACGACACGCUGAUCCUCACUCCUUCUCAUCUUCUUCUUAAACCAUCCCCCUUCCGUGUUCUGCCUUCAAACCCCCGGCAUACCGCCGCUCGUCCUCGAAAUUGCAUUUCGCUCGACUGUCGCGGCUCGUUUGCUCGAAUGCGCCGAGAGCUUCCCGGGAAUAGGCUGCCUUUAACUUCGAGGCUGGCAGCGGGGGUGACGACGACGAUGACGGCGAUGGCGACGACGGCGG